CACGGGACACCUGCAUCUGCCAACAAGACUGGAAGCAGAAAGGGACAGAGACGGCGAAGUUUGACGGUCUGGAAAGCAGAGACCAGCAGGGCUGACUGCUUGGGAGCACCAAAUAUCCGGACAGCGCCUCUCGGGAGGUCCGAGAAGAGAACCGCGAUCUGUUUCAGCACCGGGGCUCAGGACAGUUCCCAGCGGGCUCCGUUUCGUCUCCAGAACCCUGGACAGCUCCUCCAGCCUCAGGGCUUUUGCCUCUGCUGUUCCUGCAGCUUGGAAUGCACUCCCUCCACCUCCAACCAGAGCUCCCCACAACUGACCCUGCCUUCUUCUGCAAGCUCCAUUUCAUCAAGGGAAACGAUCCUUAUUGCCUCACCAUUUCCCACGUGAAGUCUGUAUUGACAUUCUCAUAGACCUGGGAUAUUGUGUCUGCAGCACAUAGUCCAAUUAUUUUCAUGUUAUCUACUGACAGGUCUAUUUGUCUCCCUGUUACACUGUGAGCUCCGUGAGGGCAGAAACAAUGUUAGUAUUUUCACUGCUGUGUCCCCAGCGCCUGGUCCGGGGCCCGGCACACAGCAGGCAUAUAAUAAGCAUGUGUUGAAUCAAUAAAGGCAUCAAAGAAUAAACCAAUACAUCAAUCAAUAAA
rnacentral:lncRNA from 1 species